AUAAGUGUUAGCAUCUGUGUGUGAGAGUGUUCGUUUGCCUGACACUGAAGAAGGGAGACCCUGAAACGUCUGACAGCCUUCUUCUAUCUGUAGCUAAACAUCCUGGUGGACACUGGGAGCAGUAACUUCACUGUGGGUGCAGCGGCUCAGCCUUUUCUAAAAAGAUACUACCACCGCUCACUGUCAGCUCAGGACAUGGCUCAUUGCUGUCCUUGGUCAAAAGAAAGAAAGUAGACUACAUUCCUCACAUGCUUUCAGAGUGCCACUGCUUCAGCCUGCUGUCCACGGGCCAUCGCAGACUGACGGAGGGCGACAAGACACAAAGCAAAGCUAUUCUGGAGAUGCUACAUAUCGAUAAGCUUUCCGCCAUCGUGCAGGGAAAGCCCCAUCCGUACAUGAGGAAGCUGUACCAGCGCCUGGGCUCGCUGCAGGGGCCUGACCUGGAGGGGCAGAGGGAACACUGGUGCAGAGCGUGCGCAGUAGUAAAGCUGGUCCAGGAGGUGCCCCCGCUGGGUGGAUCUGGUUUAACAUCACGGCUGCCUUCCCCUCCGCACUCGCUGCAGAGUUGGUCCUAUUCAGAAAGACUAUCCACCCUCACCCAGUCAACGUGACCGUGACCCUGCACUCCCUCGCCCUGUCCCGGGACGGCUCUCUGCACCACCACAGUCCAGCCCUGGAGGAGAGGCUGCUGAGCCUGGACCGGAGACACCCCUCUGGAUAUGACGUGUUUCUUGUCUCUGCGGCUGUGAGACCGGCGGAGGUGAUAGGUUUCCAGCUGAGGUACAAGGAUGAGAGCGGGAGUCUGGUCCUGCAUGACGCCCUGACACGUAGUCUGUACUGUAUGGAGAGAGGGUCACUGAGAGAGCCCAUACUGGUGCUCUACAAGACUAUCCUACUCAACUGAGGCCUGUGUAUACAAGCUGGACGGGGCAGACCAGUUUUACAGCGCUAUAGUUUUAUGCUGAGCUUAUUAGUUCUUUUGACCUGGUUUUGGGGUAAUAUCUCUGUCAUUUCUGUCCACAUGAAACAAACACUGGUAUGACAAAUUCAACUAAUUUUCUGGCAAAUUUUCUUUAGUUUAGAAAAAAUGGUGGCAAAGUGGUGGUCACAAAGGGCUGUCAGUUAAAAAUACUUAACAAGUUAAGUAUGACAAAUGUUGCCCACAAUGCCUAACUAGAUAAAAAUGAGGUUCAAUAUAUGGGAAUUUUCAUUUUGGAUAUUUUGGUAACACUAUAAUAAAUGAUGAAUUAACACUUAAUUAAUCAUGAACAAUUCAUUAGUUAAGUGUGACUAACACUUAAUAACUACUUAACUACUACAGUUAAUGCCUAAGUCAUAAUGAAUAGUUCUUCACAUACUUCACUUAUUCAUUGUUAAGUAGUUAUGUGUCAGUCACACUUAACUAAUGAAUUGUUCAUGAUUAAUUAAGUGUUAAUUCAUCAUUUCUUAAGGCUAAAUAAGGUGUAGUUAUUAUAAAGUGUUACCGUCUCUGGUCCCACCUGAAAUUUUAAUAUCGAAGUCUGGAAUGUCAUGAAUGCAAGCUACUAUGGUCUUGUUGCUACUUUCAAGGUAACAGCUAAUGUAACAGUGUUACAGGGAGAAUACUUUGCAAUUGUAUUUAGUUACAGAAUACUGAAUACUUACCUUAAAGUGUAUUUUGAAACGUACUCCAUUACUUUGUCCAAUAAGAGUACUUGAUUCUGAAUACUUAGAAUAUUUUCACCUUCAUUUGCAUAAUAUUCAUGCAUAAAAUCGGCAUAUGAUUAAAAACUUGCAGCUACGCUACACCGCCUGUUAUGAACUUGGUUCAAGUGGUGUGAAGCGCCCUCUGGUGGAUAGAGUGUAAAGUCACACUUAUAGAUUGUCGGAGGCCAAACAGUUUUGGAUUUUUGCUGUUGACUGAUUUUAUGUCUUAAUAAUAAAUUGAGAAAUAUCUCAUUGUAAUGUUGCUGACCAAUAGUAGCCUACAGAUGAGCAUUUUCACCCAUUUCUAAUGAGAAAAUGUAGUUUUCCAAUUUGUUAAGUAACCUAUGGAUACUUACCAAAUAGGCCUACUGAAUGUAUGGCUACUUGUAUAUUUAAAUAAAACAUGGCAUACUAAUGAGGGUACCGAUAGAGGUUUGUUUCAGUGUUUUGUGUUUUCAUCUCUACGUUUUGAGGAGUUAAAAGCGCCAACAAACCUUGUCCAAUUUGUUUUUUGUGUUUAGUUGUCAGAUUGUUGGUGCGCAUACCAUGUUAAAAACGAAACUCACUAAAAUAAUAACACAAUAAUAAAAGGAGGGGAAAGCGGAAGUGACUCAUCCUCUCUUUUAUCUGAUUGGCUGUUCUUUCAGUCUUUCAAGUUCUCCUCUGACCAAUCGCUGCCGAGCUUUGGGCGCAGCAGUUGCCUCUUCAUCUGUGGGCGCAAUCUGCUCGAAAUAUCGACUCUUUCUCCUGUUUUCUUUGGGUGGACAUUGCCUCUCACCAUCCGCGGGACUUUGUGUUCGUGUCUUCACCGAUUCUCCGCCGGCUGUCGGCUCAAGGCGGCUCGGUAUCGGGACUGAAAUGCCUCCCCCGCGGCGCUGAACCUGCUCCAUCCUUCACACAAAGCCUGUGAGCAGCAGCAGGCCGUGUGUUUUUCAUCCCUCAGUCCCGG
ensembl:lncRNA